UACGGGGGGGGCAAGCGUUGUUCGGAAUUACUGGGCGUAAAGUGUGCGCAGGCGGCGCCGCAUGUCGAGUGUGAAAGCCCCGAGCUUAACUUGGGAAUUGCGCUCGAAACUACGGUGCUGGAGUGUGGCAGAGGAAGAUGGAAUUCCACGUGUAGCGGUGAAAUGCGUAGAGAUGUGGAGGAACACCGAUGGCGAAGGCAGCCUUCUGGGCCAACACUGACGCUCAUGCACGAAAGCGUGGGGAGCAAACAGG
rnacentral:rRNA from 1 species